rnacentral:tRNA from 1 species
GGUGUAGCUCAGUGGUAGAGCACUUAGUGAACACAACGCCCUAGGUUCAAUCCCUAGCACC